AGUCUGUGAAGCCUUUGGUUUGUCAUGGCUGCCUCUGGGCACUGAUGGCACAGGAGGUGAGGGAAUCACUUCUCUUCUCCUGAGGCAGCUUCCCUAAAAGAAAGGUCAGCCAUGAGGUCACUCAUUAUUGGACCAGAGCUCAGUGCUGCCCAUCUCACCCUUCAUGGAGAACACUGGACAAGAAGAGUCGAGGCCACCAUCCUGUCUGCUAUGAGCUUCCCAGCUUGUCCACCUGGGAAUUGUAAAAUUCCACGUACAGAACCUGGGCUUCUUGAGACCGGGGAGUGUGACAACCCAGUCUGCUCAGUGAUGGAAAGUUCGAAACUGGAAAUGUACCUGGAUGCCACCCUGAGUCAGCCC